UACAUAAAUGCAUAUAUUUAUAUAUCGAUCUAAAGUAACAGGAAUACUUAAAGGAAGGCGGAAAUUUACGAAACGAGAAAACCAAAAACUCGUCAUUGGAUAUA